rnacentral:rRNA from 1 species
CCUACGGGUGGCAGCAGUGAGGAAUAUUGGUCAAUGGGCGUAAGCCUGAACCAGCCAAGUCGCGUGAGGGAUGAAGGUUCUAUGGAUUGUAAACCUCUUUUAUAAGGGAAUAAAGUGUGGGACGUGUCCUUUUUUGUAUGUACUUUAUGAAUAAGGAUCGGCUAACUCCGUGCCAGCAGCCGCGGUAAUACGGAGGAUCCGAGCGUUAUCCGGAUUUAUUGGGUUUAAAGGGAGCGUAGACGGCCUUUUAAGUCAGUGGUGAAAGUCUGUGGCUCAACCAUAGAAUUGCAGUUGAAACUGGGGGGCUUGAGUAUGUUUGAGGCAGGCGGAAUGCGUGGUGUAGCGGUGAAAUGCUUAGAUAUCACGCAGAACCCCGAUUGCGAAGGCAGCCUGCCAAGCCGUGACUGACGCUGAUGCACGAAAGCGUGGGGAUCAAACAGGAUUAGAUACCCUAGUAGUC